rnacentral:lncRNA from 1 species
UAUAACUUAUGAACAAGCAGUUACCAUACCAUUGUGCAUACCAUUGCCUAUUUAUACACCACCCAUAACACACUGAGUAAUCACCCAAGCAGGUUUUAAAUAAUAAAUUCCACAAUAAUUAUUUGUUAUGGCUGAGGGGUUUUUUUUUAAGGGAUUCAGAGAAGACCAAGUGGCACAUUGCUGUAAAUUUUCAGUUCUUUGGGAUGAUUUUAUCUUCACAAACCUGAGCAUUUCCAGGCACAAAGCUUCAUUUUCUUUGCGGGAAUGAGAUGUCAGGGAAAUGUCUCCUGCAGGUCACUCAGGCUGGGUGGGAUGACUUCAUUCCUUCUGCUGCCGUGACUCCUUUGCAGAUGAGCCCCUGGAUGUGAAGCAGGCGAUGAAAUGUCCUGGUGAGACAUUUUUGGUUUAUUUCAUGGGGCUUUCCUUGAAUUUUAGAUCAAUCUGAUGGCGGAAGGGAUGGGAAAACCAAGCUGCUUUUGUCUGGGAAAAGUUAAAAUGCUGAUAUAAUAUUGGCUGAUUUUUGUCAGUGGAGGUAAGAGAUUGUCUUCAUUAACAUUUGUUCAUUUCCUCUUUUGUUUACAGCUCCUUUUGUGGUGCUGAAACCCAACUUUCUCCUUACAGCCUGUGGAAAUAACCUGCAAAUGGAUCUUUUUCCAUCCAGGCUAUAUUUCUUGCUCUUUCCUCUGCACUUUCCAGUUGCUGUGCAUCAUUUCUUGCUCUUGUAAAUGCAGUUCUGCACUCAAAUUCCUACUGGUGAUGGAUAAAGUUGUGUAUCCUCAGCUUUUCUGCUCAGGAUCAUCCAGCUCAGAAGAAUUUUUGUUUCAAGUCCUUGAUCUGUGAAAUUUGGGACACUUUAGAUAAAUCAGAGCCUCUGAGAGCCUCCAGUCAACAAAAUUUAAGAAGAAACCAAAUGAUGUGGGGGAGAAUAUCAGCAGCUGGGAGGGGAGGCCAAGACCAAAGUGUUUGUACCAGCAGUGAGAAAUGGCAUUUGCCAGUGCAGUUUCCUUGCUUGCCAAGAUCUGAGCGAUAUUUGAAGGCCCCUUUGAAGGGCUGAGGCCUGACAGGAGCCGCUCCUGCGGGAAGCUCAGAAGACAGCGAGGUAACCACGGGAAAUCUGCAGGCUGAUUUCCACCAGCCUCUUUCCUUUUGCUGCCGUGGAAGAGCCCUGGGAGGUGGGAAAUCAUUAUCCCCAUGGGAGGAAUCAGUGGAUGGAGAAGGGAAUCCGAGGGAAUGAGCUCACCCUGGAAUUCCAUUGUUGACUCCGAUAACGCCCGUUGAAUUUCCGUGUCUACAAGGAGGGAUGUGGAAUGGGAACACUCCCUGUAGCUCAUUAAUGUGAGCAGGGGGAAGCUCCUUCUGCUCGAGCACAGAGUCCAUGGAGAUAUUUUCUCAGACUGCUUAAAAAAAUCUGGAUUCCCUUAAGCAAGGCAUGCUCUGGAACGGGAAGUAAAUGGAAGCCUAAUGGCAAACCCAUUAAAAACAGCAAAAACUGAAAUUAAAUUCUGAGGGAAACG